rnacentral:rRNA from 1 species
AGUGAACGCUGGCGGUAGGCCUAACACAUGCAAGUCGAACGGCAGCACAGAGGAGCUUGCUCCUUGGGUGGCGAGUGGCGGACGGGUGAGGAAUACAUCGGAAUCUACUCUGUCGUGGGGGAUAACGUAGGGAAACUUACGCUAAUACCGCAUACGACCUACGGGUGAAAGCAGGGGACCUUCGGGCCUUGCGCGAUUGCAUGAGCCGAUGUCGGAUUAGCUAGUUGGCGGGGUAAAGGCCCACCAAGGCGACGAUCCGUAGCUGGUCUGAGAGGAUGAUCAGCCACACGGGAACUGAGACACGGUCCAGACUCCUACGGGAGGCAGCAGUGGGGAAUAUUGGACAAUGGGCGCAAGCCUGAUCCAGCCAUACCGCGUGGGUGAAGAAGGCCUUCGGGUUGUAAAGCCCUUUUGCUGGGAAAGAAAUCCAGCUGGCUAAUACCCGGUUGGGAUGACGGUACCCAAAGAAUAAGCACCGGCUAACUUCGGGCCAGCCGCCGCCGUAA